GUGGGGAAUAUUGCACAAUGGGGGAAACCCUGAUGCAGCGACGCCGCGUGAGUGAAGAAGUAAUUCGUUAUGUAAAGCUCUAUCAGCAGGGAAGAAAAUGACGGUACCUGAGUAAGAAGCCCCGGCUAACUACGUGCC
rnacentral:rRNA from 1 species